UUUAUGGUCAAGCAAGAAAGAGCGUACGGAGGAUGCCUUGGUGAAAGAUAGCGAAGAAGGACGUGGUAAGCUGCGAUAAGCUUCGGGUAGCCGCAAAUAGGCUUUGAUCCGGAGAUUUCCGAAUGGGGCAACCCAUCUGCUUUAAUCGGCAGAUAUCUAUCUCUAAAUAAAAUAGGGGCUAGAGGCAAAACCAGGAGAAUUGAACCAUCUUAGUAUCCUGAGGAAAAGAAAACGAAUGCGAUUCCCUUAGUAGCGGCGAGCGAAACGGGAACAGCCUAAACCAAAUAGGGGUAAUAGCCUGUAUGCGUUCUCUAUUUGGGGUUGUAGGACUUAAACAAAGCCAAGAUACAGAUUGGCACAAGGCCUAAAAUUUUUUCGCUUAGUCGAACAGCCUGGAAAGACUGGCUAAAAAAGGUAAUAGCCCUGUAGAUGAAAAGCGAAGAAAGCCUUGAUUAAGUUCCUGAGUACUGCGGAACUCGUGGAAUUCUGUAGGAAUCUGGCCCGACCAUGGGCUAAGGCUAAAUAAAAUCUUUCAACCGAUAGUGAACAAGUACCGUGAGGGAAAGGUGAAAAGAACCCCGAGAGGGGAGUGAAAUAGAACCUGAAACCGUAUGCUUACAAGCAGUCAGAGCCCUAUGCUCUUCCUUAUAUUCGGAAGAGAAUGGGUGAUGACGUGCCUAUUGAAGAAUGAACCGGCGAGUUAUUUAGAGUAGCAAGGUUAAGUCUAUAACAUAGACGGAGCCGUAGCGAAAGCGAGUCUGAAUAGGGCGACAAAAAGUUACUUUAAAUAGACCCGAAGCUGAGUGAUCUACCCAUGGCCAGAAUGAACUCUGCCUAAUCGCAGAGGGAGGUUCGAACCCGUGUAGGUUGAAAACUGCUGGGAUGAGCUGUGGGUCGGAGUGAAAGGCUAAUCAAACUCAGCGAUAGCUGGUUCUCCCCGAAAUAGCUUUAGGGCUAGCCUUCCAGAAAGCGUAGUGGAGGUAGAGUACUAAAUGGAUAAGGAGGCCCACCAGGUCUCCAAAUCCAAUUAAACUCCGAAUUCCAUUAUUGUUGCUGGAGGAGUCAGACUGUGGGGGAUAAGCUCCAUGGUCAAAAGGGAAACAGCCCAGACCAUUAGCUAAGGUCCCUAAUAUGGACUAAGUGGUAAAGGAAGUGGAGUCACUCAGACAAUCAGGAUGUUGGCUCAGAAGCAGCCAUCAUUUAAAGAAAGCGUAACAGCUCACUGAUCGAUUUGAAGUCUCUAAAAAUCGUAAGAUUUGCGAGACUUUUGUAACUCUGCGCCGACAAUGUAACGGGGCUCAAGUCCAUUACCGAAGCCGUGGAUUUAGUUCGUAGUCCAGAGUUCAUAGUUCGUAGAUUUCUAUGAACUAUAGGCUAGUAACUAUGAACUGAAUGGUAGGGGAGCAUUCCCUAAGCGAGUGAAGCCUGACCGCAAGGACAGGUGGACGUAUGGGAAGAGAGUAUGCCGGUAUAAGUAACGAAAAAAUCUGUGAAAAACAGAUUCGCCGAAAGUCUAAGGUUUCCUGGGGAAGGUUAAUCCGCCCAGGGUUAGUCGGUGGCUAAGUCGAGGCUGAAAAGCGUAGAUAAUGCACAAUCCGUUAAUAUUCGGAUACUACCUAAGAACCGUUUUGAGUGAUGAGGUAACGCAGAAGGACAAAUCAGCCACAUAAUGGAUAUUGUGGUUUAAGCCCGUAGGUUGGGAAGAUGAGGAAAAUCUUUAUCUUCCAUUUAAAACCAAGAGGUGAAUAGGAGUUUUCUCUUCGGAGAGAGCGAACUGAUCGAUUCCACGCUGCCAAGAAAAACCUCUAAACAAGGUUUUUGGGUAACCGUACCGCAAACCGACACAGGUAGACAAGCAGAAUAUGCUUAGGCGCUCGAGAUAACUCUCGUUAAGGAACUCGGCAAAUUAACCCCGUAACUUCGGAAUAAGGGGUGCCCUGGUAGUGUGAGGCGUUUUUACAAUUUCUCGCACGAGAGGGUUGCAAAAAAAUGGCUCCUGCGACUGUUUACUAAAAACACAGGUCUCUGCUAAGUCGUAAGACGAUGUAUAGGGACUGACACCUGCCCGGUGCCGGAAGGUUAAGAGGAGAUGUCAUCUGCCCUUUUUGGGUGGAGAAGCGUUGAAUCGAAGCCCUGGUAAACGGCGGCCCUAACUAUAAGGGUCCUAAGGUAGCGAAAUUCCUUGUCGGGUAAGUUCCGACCUGCACGAAUGUUGUAACGAUAGGAGCACUGUCUCAACGAGGGACUCGGUGAAUUUGUGAUACCCGUGAAGACGCGGGUUACCCGCAGCAAGACGAAAAGACCCCGGAACCUUUACUGUAACUUAACAUUGGAUUUUAAAAUAGUAUGUGUAGCAUAGGUGGGAGGCUAUGAAACCGGCUCGUCAGGGCUGGUGGAGCCGCCAGUGAAAUACCACUCUUACUGUUUUGAGGUUCUAACCUUAUUCUGUGAAACCAGAAGAGGGACAGUGUUUGGCGGGCAGUUUGACUGGGGCGGUUGCCUCAUAAAAAGUAACUGAGGUGCCCAAAGGUUUCCUCAAGCCGUUUGGUAAUCGGUUGUAGAGCGUAAAGGUAUAAGGAAGCCUGACUGCGAGACCGACAGGUCGAGCAGAGUGGAAACACGGGCUUAAUGAUCCGGUGAUUCUGAAUGGAAGGGUCAUCGCUCAACGGAUAAAAGGUACUCCGGGGAUAACAGGCUGAUCUUGCCCAAGAGUUCAUAUCGACGGCAAGGUUUGGCACCUCGAUGUCGGCUCAUCGCAUCCUGGGGCUGAAGUAGGUCCCAAGGGUUGGUCUGUUCGCCCAUUAAAGCGGUACGUGAGCUGNNNNNNNNNNNNNNNNNNNNNNNNNCAAGUAAAAACGGAGGGUGUGCGGAUAAUCAGCAGGCAAGCAGGAAAAAAAUAUCAGAUGAAUAUUUUACUGGCUUCGUUGAUGGAGAAGGCUGUUUCUAUGUAGGUUUCAGCCGAAGAAAAGAUUUACCUUUAGGUUGGCAGGUUAUUACAGAGUUCCAUCUCAGUCAGAACCCACAGGGAAAACUAAUUUUAGAACAAUUUCAAAGAAGAUUAGGAUGUGGUUACAUUAAACCUAAUCACCCUAAAAGCAAAAGAGAUAAAACCUGGGUUUUGAUUGUGAAAGACAGAAAAGACCUAAAGGAAAGGUUGAUACCUUUCUUUCAGAAACAUCCUCUUCAUUCAGGGAAAAGAAAAGAUUUUAUGCUCUUUGUUAAAGUACUUCAGUUGAUUGAAAAAGGAAGUCACCUUAAACCUGAAGGUUUUAGGAAGAUAGCCAAUUUGGUCUUCCAAUUACCACGAAGUCGGAAACGUUAUUUGAAAGAAGAGAUAUUUUUCUCCUGUGGCCUCAGAGACUAUACGCCAAAUACCUCGAAAAGGUAAAGAUAUAGUCCGAUCUCACGGGCGACUGUGAGAGUUUCGCAGAAAUGCGAAGUCACCUCUUCUUGAAUCUAGAAGGGGUUAUAAGUCUCUGAUAGGAGAUGAAGUAACAGAAUGUCGGUCUCUAUCUGCUGUGGGCGUUGGAUAUUUGAAGGGGAGCUAUCCCUAGUACGAGAGGAUUGGGAUGGACGAACCUCUGGUGUUCCAGCUGUNNNNNNNNNNNNAAGGAUAAGCGCUGAAAGCAUCUAAGCGCGAAGCCUCCCCCAAGAUAAGAUAUCCCUCUGCCGCAAGGUGGACUAAAGAUUCCAGGAAGACGACCUGGUUGAUAGGCCAGAUGUGUAAGUCCAGUAAUGGAUUCAGCUAACUGGUACUAAUCAAUCGUGUGGCUUGACCAUAGAU
rnacentral:rRNA from 1 species